UACGAAGGGGGCUAGCGUUGCUCGGAAUCACUGGGCGUAAAGCGCACGUAGGCGGAUUGCUAAGUCAGGGGUGAAUUCCUGGAGCUCAACUCCAGAACUGCCUUUGAUACUGGCGAUCUCGAGUUCGGGAGAGGUGAGUGGAACUGCGAGUGUAGAGGUGAAAUUCGUAGAUAUUCGCAAGAACACCAGUGGCGAAGGCGGCUCACUGGCCCGAUACUGACGCUGAGGCGCGACAGCGUGGGGAGCAAACAGG
rnacentral:rRNA from 1 species